rnacentral:rRNA from 1 species
AAGGGUGCGUAACACGUGGGGAAUCUGCCGAGAAGUGGGGGAUAGCUCGUCGAAAGGCGAAUUAAUACCGCAUGUGGUUAGGGAAGACAUCUUUCCGAUACCAAAGCCGGGGCAACCUGGCGCUUCUUGAUGACCCCGCGGCCUAUCAGCUAGUUGGUGAGGUAACGGCUCACCAAGGCUAUGACGGGUAGCUGGUCUGAGAGGACGACCAGCCACACUGGAACUGAGACACGGUCCAGACACCUACGGGUGGCAGCAGUCGAGAAUUUUUCUCAAUGGGGGAAACCCUGAAGGAGCGACGCCGCGUGGAGGAUGAAGGUCUUCGGAUUGUAAACUCCUGUCAUUAGGGAACAAUGUGCAGUCGUUAACUGCGAUUGCAUUGAUAGUACCUGAAGAGGAAGAGACGGCUAACUCUGUGCCAGCAGCCGCGGUAAUACAGAGGUCUCAAGCGUUGUUCGGAUUCAUUGGGCGUAAAGGGUGCGUAGGUGGCGCCAUAAGUCAGGUGUGAAAUCUCGGGGCUCAACCCCGAAACUGCACUUGAUACUGUGGUGCUCGAGUACUGGAGAGGAGAUUGGAAUU